AUUGAACGCUGGCGGCAUGCCUAACACAUGCAAGUCGAACGGCAGCAUGCUUUGUAGCAAUACAGAGUGAUGGCGAGUGGCGGACGGGUGAGUAACGCGUAGGAAUCUGCCCCAAAGUGGGGGAUAACCCAGCGAAAGCUGGGCUAAUACCGCAUAAUCUCUUCGGAGUAAAGCAGGGGACCUUCGGGCCUUGUGCUUUGGGAUGAGCCUGCGUAAGAUUAGCUAGUUGGUGGGGUAAAGGCCUACCAAGGCGACGAUCUUUAGCUGGUCUGAGAGGACGACCAGCCACAUUGGGACUGAGACACGGCCCAAACUCCUACGGGUGGCAG
rnacentral:rRNA from 1 species